CUUCCGUUAAUUGAUUAUGAGUGCUUGCACUGAAUGAGAUUUUAACACGAAGUGAGUGGCGGACGGGUGAGUAACACGUGGGUAACCUGCCCAGAAGCAGGGGAUAACACCUGGAAACAGAUGCUAAUACCGUAUAACAGAGAAAACCGCCUGGUUUUCUUUUAAAAGAUGGCUCUGCUAUCACUUCUGGAUGGACCCGCGGCGCAUUAGCUAGUUGGUGAGGUAACGGCUCACCAAGGCGAUGAUGCGUAGCCGACCUGAGAGGGUAAUCGGCCACAUUGGGACUGAGACACGGCCCAGACUCCUACGGGAGGCAGCAGUAGGGAAUCUUCCACAAUGGACGCAAGUCUGAUGGAGCAACGCCGCGUGAGUGAAGAAGGGUUUCGGCUCGUAAAGCUCUGUUGUUAAAGAAGAACGUGGGUGAGAGUAACUGUUCACCCAGUGACGGUAUUUAACCAGAAAGCCACGGCUAACUACGUGCCAGCAGCCGCGGUAAUACGUAGGUGGCAAGCGUUAUCCGGAUUUAUUGGGCGUAAAGCGAGCGCAGGCGGUCUUUUAAGUCUAAUGUGAAAGCCUUCGGCUCAACCGAAGAAGUGCAUUGGAAACUGGGAGACUUGAGUGCAGAAGAGGACAGUGGAACUCCAUGUGUAGGGUGAAAUGCGUAGAUAUUGGAGAACACCAGUGGCGAAGGCGGCUGUCUGGUCUGUAACUGACGCUGGGCUCGAAAGCAUGGGUAGCGAACAGGAUUAGAUACCCUGGUAGUCCAUGCCGUAAGAUGAUUACUAAGUGUUGGAGGGUUUCCGCCCUUCAGUGCUGCAGCUAACGCAUUAAGUAAUCCGCCUGGGGAGUACGACCGCAAGGUUGAAACUCAAAAGAAUUGACGGGGGCCCGCACAAGCGGUGGAGCAUGUGGUUUAAUUCGAAGCUACGCGAAGAACCUUACCAGGUCUUGACAACUCCUGCCAACCUAAGAGAUUAGGCGUUCCCUUCGGGGACAGAAUGACAGGUGGU
rnacentral:rRNA from 1 species